UCUUCUUCUACUUCUCCGCAUCUAUCUCCAUCUCCGUCUCCGGCUCCCACUCCCUCCCUUUCUCGUUUUCUUCGCAAAGUCACUGCAACUCACGUACGUGUCUCCUUCUCCCUCUCCCGCUCCCACCCCUGAUCCAUCGUUCACCCCAACCCUCUCCCCUCCCAAUUCACCAAGCAGCAGACCAGCAAUAAGCAACCAGCGAGCAACAACCAGCGACUAGAGAGACCUGCGAGGAGUGAGCUAAAUCUCUAUAACGUUUAACCUAGCUCCACUUUAUGCCAGAGCUACCUCCCUUUCUCUUGUUUCAAAUUUCAAACCAGAACAAUGGCGGACAAAGGUGAAGGUCUAGCCAUCGGUAUCGAUCUAGGAACUACAUACUCUUGUGUUGGAGUAUAGCAACACGAUCGUAUUGAAAUCAUAGCUAAUGAUCAAGGUAACAGGACUACUCCUUUGUACUUUGCCUUCACCGAUUCAGAGCGUUUGAUCGGAGAGGCGGCAAAGAACCAAGUGGCGAUGAAUCCGAUCAACACCUUUUUUUUGAUUUGCCAACGUUAGCACGGAAUGUGAGUAAUCAGGCUCUGAAGAUCGAACUAUUUAGAGAAAAAAUCUGCCCUCAGUCAGAAGGUCGGUCGUUCUCUGUGGUCUACGUGCACACAGAUGUGCGGAGGAGCGAGAAUUUCCCCAGAAUCUCAACCCUAAGUGAUUCUGAUCAACGUCAAAGAAGAAUCUCGAGGCGGUUGGCUUACUUUGUUCAUCCAGGUCUUCAGGCCAGGCUUUUCCUCCCCACCUGCGAUCGUUUUCUCUUCAGUGGAGGGUUGUACGGGUACAAAUUUUCAAGGCUCCGUUUAGCUCAACUAUUUCAUGGCUUUGAGUGAAACCUCCAGUCUGCAAAUUAAGAAGUCUCUAUUUAUGUCUAUGGAAUUUGUUAGAAUUGCUUGAACACUCUUCAUACUUAGAAGAUGAAGGAUACAAAUUUUGCAUACUUUUCUCUAAUACGUCUUGUAGGUUUGAAUCCAAUGUCCUUGUAAACAUGAGUCCCUUAUCAAAGCUCGUCUCAAGUCUGUUUGAGAUGAUUCGAUUAUGGGUUUGUGUGAUUUCAUGAACUGCAUUUGCUAAUAAAACCACAAGAAUUGGUUUGUUUACAAAGUGUAAAAAUAUUAGAGGGCCAUAAGUUUGAGUCGAAUUGGAGUGUACAUUUGAUUUGGCAAAGAAUCUAAUUGAUGUAGGUUUUCUAUAAUAGGGAGUUUGAAUGGGAAAAGUGGUAGACUUCGUCCGCUAUUUCCUAGUCCAGUAUUCUUAGAAAAGAACACAAAGAGCAGAAGAAAGCAAACAAGAUUUGCCACUGAAAGAGAGAAAGCAAAGAAAGAUAUCUUUCACUUGUCUUGCAUUUUGCCUGCAAGACAUAAACAUAGACUUCUUAGUUUGCGGAUAAAUGGUUUCACUCAAAGCUAAAAUACUUGCAAUGCGGGAGAGGGGAUAAGAACAAGAGGAAAAUCAAAGGAUCUGUUGUGUUGAUGAAGAAAAAUGUCUUGGACUUCAACGACUUACACGCCUCUGUACUCCACCGGGUUCAUGAGUUCUUGGGAAAGGAGUUUCAAUCCAGCUCAUCAGUGCUGUUCAUGGUGAUCUAGGCAAAGUGCAAGACAAGGGAAAGAUGUCUAUUAUUUUGCAAUGGUUAUUUCAUGUCUUCUUCUUGUUUCUUUGUUUUCUCCUUCCCUUUGUGGUCUUUUUCAAGAAUACUAGACUAGGAAAUCGGCGACGAAACCUAUCACCUUCCUCAUUCAAGCUCCCUAUAAUAGAGAAUUUCCAUCAAUUAGGCUCUUUACCACACCAAAAACUCCAAUCUUUGGCUCAAACUCAUGACCCUCUUAUGCUGUUGCACUUUAGAAGCAAACCAAUUCUUGUAGUUUCAUCAGCCGAUGUGGUUUGUGAAAUCACCCAAAUCCAUGACCUAAUCAUCUCAAGCAGACCUGAGACGAGUUUUGGUAGGCGACUCUUUUAUGAUUACAAGGACAUUGGAUUCACACCCUCUGACGUGUAUCGGAGAAAAGUACGCAAAAUUUUUGUCUUCCAUCUUCUAAGUAUGAAGAGGGUUCAAAGCCAAGUAAAAAAAAAAAAAUCUCAUCUGGUUAUUUAUUUAUUUAUUUGGAUACACGGUUAUGUACCCUAUUACUUAGAACUGUGGAUGUCGGUAAAAAACGAUCUGUUACUUGAGGUUCAUGGUUUCCAAGACAAGAAAAGUUUGAUCCACUAGUCCUGUGCGGUGUGGUGUGACAAGGAAGGACAAAGAGCAAAAUAUAGCAUUUGCUUUGCUCUACUUUUGUCUACGCUUCCAACACAUGGAAUAUUUUAUAUUAAUAAAUUUUCACUUUUUGUGUUU